CGUGUCGUGAGAUGUUGGGUUAAGUCCCGCAACGAGCGCAACCCUUGCCCUGUUUUGCCAUCAUUCAGUUGGGAACUAUCAGGGGACCGCCAGCGAUAAGUUGGAGGAAGGUGGGGAUGACGUCCAGUCAUCGUGGUCUUUAUGUCGAGCGCUACUCACGUGCUACAAUGUACGGUACCAAGUGCAUCUAACCCUCGAGGGGGCGCAAAUCACAAAAAACCGGUCUCAGGUCGGA
rnacentral:rRNA from 1 species